ACACAUUUCUCUCCUCUCUCCCCCUCUGCUCCCUCUGGUGGCUCCUGAGAUCUGGUUUUCACUGGAGAAUCACCGGCGACCACUUCAUCGUCUUUACUCAAAAGAUGGAACAAGGAUGUAAAAAAAGAGAAGUGGAUCAAGUAGUACAUGCAAGGAAAAGAACAAAGUGCAAUCAACUUCAGCAUGUUGAAGCAUUUCUGAAGCUCACAUCUAAAAUAUCUGAUAAUUGCAAGAAACAUAUACACAGAAUGGGUUUCAGGUCAUUCCUACAAAUAACUAGCAUGUCCAAUAUAUACUCUAUUUACCUCUAGCUUGCAAAUCAUUUCAACACAACUUCGUGCUCUAUUGAAACACAAAAUGGCUUCAAAUUCCGAAUUACACCUACAACUAUUCACAAAUUUUUUGGCAUUCCAAUUGGUGGACAUCUUGUAAUCACAAAACCAUCAGAAGCAACCUAUGAGUUCAUUCAACAAGAUUUAGGAACAAGAGUACCAACAAUUGAAUACCUUUCCUCAAUUAUCAAUGAUGAUAUCCCCGAAGAAAAAUACUGCAGAAUCUUCAUUCUCAUACUCCUGUCAUUGUUUGUUGCCCCUAAUUCAAGUGGAGUUUCUAGCAAGUUUGUGUAUAGUGCAAUAGUUGACAUUGACAGAAUUUCUCAGUAUGAUUGGUGUCUGCUAUGUCUGAGCUACAUGGUUUGUUCAAUAAAGAAAACAAGGCUGAAGAACACAGUGAGCAAAGAAAUCAUUCCUAGUGGAAGCAAGUUACUUAUGGUGAUAUCCUACUUUGAAUUCCUGAUAAUAACUGAAAUCAAGAUGCCGACUAGAAACAAGACUACCAUUAUGAUAAAACACAUGUCCUCAACUCCAUUCAUUGAUUGAAAUUACAUCUGCCUGAAGAAAUUGCGGAGUACAUUGAAUCCAAAUUCUCAGAUAUUAGUCUAACACAAAUCUUGUUGAGCCUAAACUAAAUAAAGGUAGGUUGCUUCCUGAAAUCACAUAUCCAGUUGACAAGUCUCUCAACAGUACACCGCAUGGCAAUUCAAAUGGAGAAGCUGGUUCAAGCACUCAAUACGCACAAUCAGAUUAUCCUUCCUUUGAUUUCAGCCUCCCACCAAGUCAAUAUAACAACCAACAUCAUAAUUAUGCCAACACCAUUGUUCUUCCAAGUGAGAGCCCAAUAAGGAUGAUGGACUUCCUGUCACCAAAAGUAUACCCAAGCACUAUUGGCACACCCCUUGAAGAUCCUUUGUUAGUUCAAGCACUUGAACAACAUGAAACACAUUCCAGUAAGUUCUAUAAACCAGAAGGUUCAUCUUGGCAGCAACGCGUAAACAAUUCUUUCAAAUCUGGGACAGUAGUAAUCCAAGAUCAGAAGAAGGGAAAUAAGGAGGUCAUUUUUUCAACUGGAAUAGAUAAUGCCUUCUACCAAUCAUUGGUUGGACAUCUUUCCAAGUUAACCUAUAGGUAUGUAAAAAUGACAUAUGAAAUUUAUCAUACAUCUUUCUACAUGUUUUGGACAUAAACAAAUGUAUGCUUUUUAAGCUUUCUCUUCUUUGUUUUUUUCUACUUGUGUUAAUGUUGCUCUUCUCCCAUAAAACACCCAAAGGAUCUAUGAGAUUGAACGAGUUUGGGUAGAACAGAAAACUAUAACACUAUCAUUCAAGAUUGGCGGUUGGAUAAAUCCUCGGGUUGUUGAGUAUUUUUCAAAACUAAGGAAUAAAGACCAGCUCAACCGAGGAAUAAAAGGCCUGCUUCCAAGCAGCAAUUUAGUAGAACAUAUAGUUAGCAUUGAUGACAUGGUGAGCCUAUAUUUGUGUUCUUUUUCUUACUUUUCAUUUACGGUACAACAAUUUUUGUUUCUUUUCCUAACUUUCAAUCAUUUCGUUCAAAUAAAAUAUGUAGGAGAAGCUAAUGAACCUAAUGCUAAAUCAUUCAGAUCCUGCAAACCAAAUUGAUUUUACGGGAAUGUAAUGUUGGAUUCAGUUUAUUGAACGCUUCCUUGGUAACAAUUUCUUUUUUUGUUAAAACAGAUCAUACAGAAUUUGAACUUUUACAUAGAGGUUUGACUAAUAUUCCCGUUCCUUCAAUUUAUCUAGGUAAAAGUGCAUGUGUUCAAGGAAAAACAAUUGUUAUUAAUCGUUGCUAAUUUUUGAGCCAAAUUUUUUGAUAUUAUGAACCCGCACUACAGCGACAAUGCAUUUCUACCAACAAUUAGUGCAGUAAUCUACAACUUCAAGACUUUAUUCACUGCAUCAUAUGGAAAUACUAGUUCUUUCAACAUAGGAAAUUCUGAGUCAAGAUUUGCCAGCUCCAAAAGUACGACUCAGGAAUUUCCCUCCUUAGUAUCUUAGCAAGUACAAAGGUCUCGGAAUGGAAGGUUUCUCCAAUGACGAUUUACAAGCUCUACGAGAGAAAUUUCUUUUUGAGAUCAUAACUUGCAAGGACAAUGAAAUCCAGCUUUCUUUUUAUUGCCACAAUCCUUGGCCUCCUCCUCAUCACAUCUCUAUCUCAACAGGGUUUCCGCAUUUUCAAGGGAAGCAUUCAACAUGAUUUCUGCAUAUGAACAAAGCUUUUAGGCAUUCAUUGCCAUUCGUUACUGUCAAGUAUAAUGGAAUCUGCACUAGAAGAAGUUCUCCUGAAUUUGCACUGAAAGGAAAAAACCAUGGCGAAAAUGCUUCAUCCUAAGAAAAAAACCAUUUGUUUCUGUUUCUUGCUUGUUUUGAUGUUUACCCUAGUGAUACUUUUUUGCAUAUGAACAACAGAAAGAAUUACUGAAGAAGUUGUAAUUGAUAUACCUUUACCAUACAAUUUCAUCCUACUGAUAAUUAGUUCUGGAAAAA